rnacentral:lncRNA from 1 species
GGUGAGCAGCCGUUAGAGCGUCGCGCGCCGCAGCUGUUAGGCGCGUACGGCUGAGGUGGAGUUACCGCCGCUGUGGCUGUGAGGAUGGUGGGGGCGGCUCUUCCCGGUACCGGUUUGCCGUCUGGGCAAAAGCGGGAACGUUUUUUGGAACGAGGACUGAAAAAUCAGGCUUCUGAGAGCGUGAGGGGAAUGAACAAGUAACAAAACAGAAAGUGCAGCCCUUUCCUCUGAAACAGUGCAGCGGUGGCCCUGGAAUGGAGAUAGGCGGCAGAACGUAGUUGAUCUUCGUGGAGAUUGCAGAGCAAGCCAGGUUUUGGAGUCUUUAAAUGACAUGUUACAGUGACCAAAGUAUAAAGCUGGAAGUUUGGUGUCUGGAAGCUGGAAGCCCCACUUUUGGUGCAGUUAAAAUGUAGGAAUAUGAGCAGCUUGGAAAUACUUGUGGGCAUCAGAUACAGCUGUGCCUCCUUCACAUUACCCUGGCCUGGGACAUCUUGAUACAAAAUCAGAUUACUGCCUGUGUAUCUGUAUAAUAUUAAAAGGAAAAGAACUGCACCAAACACACACCGAGUGAUGAGGCAACCUGACCAGUACUCUGUUCUUUCGCAAGUUGAGCUAGGAAGCCUGGAGAAGAUUAGAGAGUAAAUUAUGUGCUUGUUUCUAUUUCCUGUUGGGAGUGCCUCUCUGUUGACUGGUCACCAAAAACCUGUAUCAAAUCAGAAAGCAGAUAAGCACACUGAAAAGACACGUUGUGAAGAGGCAGCUCUGAAGACCUUCAAGGGAGGUGCCCUGAGGAGAAUCCCGUACUGUGGACAGAGCACACGUGUUUUAGGUGCUGUCUUUGGUCUCUGCAUUUUAGAGAAGGUUAACUGCAUCACAACAGCGCUUCUGACCAUGUCUGACAUCCAGGGUUGCAUAUUCACUUAAGAAACAUCCUCUGCCUGUUUAUGCUGUGGAAUUUCCCAACCACUUUGUUAUGACUUUGUUGUGAACUCAUCCAUAAAACACUUGGAAGCACGUGCAUAAUAAAUACUUGACUAUUUCUACUGAAUGCAGUAAUGGACAAUUACAUGUUUUUGUAGGACAGAAGACUUUAUUAGGGAGCAGCUUGUAGUUAAAAGACUACUUACUUGAAAUCUACCUUGAAAAGCAACUUAAGCCAGUCUUUGAUGCAGUGAAGCAUGAGUCCCGCCUCAGCUGCAAUUGAAGCAAGAAAAAAAAAUCAAUAAACCAUUUUUAAGAGACAAUUUGUAAUUCACUGGUCCUGCUGUUGUUUUACUUUUCUAUGUGCAAACCCAUGCAGUGUAGCUGGUGAAUACAGCUAAUAAACAAC